GAUGAACGCUGGCGGCGUGCUUAACACAUGCAAGUCGAGCGAAAAGACGCGGACUUUGUUGGUUUGUCGUUUGCGGAGGACGGGUGAGUAACACGUGGGUACCGUACUUCACUGACUGGGAUACCUUCGGGAAACCGGAGAAUACACGGGAUAAUAUUUCGAUCCGUACGGUUCGAUAGAGAAAGUUGGCUUUGCUAUGACUUCUAGGUGGAUCUGCGUCGUAUUAGCUUGUUGGUCUGGUAACGGCUUACCAAGGAAACGAUCCGUAGCGGAGCUGAGAGGGUGAGCGGCCACGCUGGAACGGAGGCACGGUCCAGACUCGUGAGGGAGGCCACAGUAGGGAAGCAUGCGCAAUGGGCGAAAGCCUGACGAAGCAACGCAGCGUGAGGGAGGGAGGUCUUCGGAUCGUAGAACUCUGUUAUGAUGGAAGAUCAAUCGUGUAAGUAACUGGGCACGUCGUGACGGUACCUAAUCAGAAAGCCACGGCUAACUACGUG
rnacentral:rRNA from 1 species